GUGCACGCUGGCGGUAGGCCUAACACAUGCAAGUCGAACGGCAGCACCGUAAGAGCUUGCUCUUACGGGUGGCGAGUGGCGGACGGGUGGGGAAUACAUCGGAAUCUACUUUUUCGUGGGGGAUAACGUAGGGAAACUUACGCUAAUACCGCAUACGACCUACGGGUGAAAGCAGGGGAUCUUCGGACCUUGCGCGAUUGAAUGAGCCGAUGUCGGAUUAGCUAGUUGGCGGGGUAAAGGCCCACCAAGGCGACGAUCCGUAGCUGGUCUGAGAGGAUGAUCAGCCACACUGGAACUGAGACACGGUCCAGACUCCUACGGGAGGCAGCAGUGGGGAAUAUUGGACAAUGGGCGCAAGCCUGAUCCAGCCAUACCGCGUGGGUGAAGAAGGCCUUCGGGUUGUAAAGCCCUUUUGUUGGGAAAGAAAAGCAGCAGGUUAAUACCCCGCUGUUCUGACGGUACCCAAAGAAUAAGCACCGGCUAACUUCGUG
rnacentral:rRNA from 1 species